AUUGAACGCUGGCGGCAGGCCUAACACAUGCAAGUCGAGCGGCAGCGGAAGGAAGCUUGCUUCCUUGCUGGCGAGCGGCGGACGGGUGAGUAAGGUAUGGGGAUCUGGCCGAAGGCGGGGGAUAACCACUGGAAACGGUGGCUAAUACCGCAUAAUCUCUAAGGAGCAAAGUGGGGGACCGUUCAGGCCUCACACCUUCGGAUGAACCCAUAUGAGAUUAGCUAGUAGGUGGGGUAAUGGCUCACCUAGGCGACGAUCUCUAGCUGGUCUGAGAGGAUGAUCAGCCACACUGGGACUGAGACACGGCCCAGACUCCUACGGGAGGCAGCAGUGGGGAAUAUUGCACAAUGGGCGCAAGCCUGAUGCAGCCAUGCCGUGUGUAUGAAGAAGGCCUUCGGGUUGUAAAGUACUUUCAGUCGUGAGGAAGGUGUUAAGGUUAAUAACCUUAGCAAUUGACGUUAGCGACAGAAGAAGCACCGGCUAACUCCGUGCCAGCCGCCGCGGUAA
rnacentral:rRNA from 1 species